UGAACGCUAGCUACAGGCUUAACACAUGCAAGUCGCGGGGAAACGGCCUCGAAAGCUUGCUUUUGAUGGGCGUCGACCGGCGCACGGGUGAGUAACGCGUAUCCAACCUGCCCAUCACUUGGGAAUAACCUUGCGAAAGUAAGACUAAUGCCCAAUGACAUCCCACGAAGGCAUCCGAAUGGGAUUAAAGAUUUAUCGGUGAUGGAUGGGGAUGCGUCUGAUUAGCUUGUUGGCGGGGUGACGGCCCACCAAGGCAACGAUCAGUAGGGGUUCUGAGAGGAAGGUCCCCCACAUUGGAACUGAGACACGGUCCAAACUCCUACGGGAGGCAGCAGUGAGGAAUAUUGGUCAAUGGGCGAGAGCCUGAACCAGCCAAGUAGCGUGCAGGAUGACGGCCCUAUGGGUUGUAAACUGCUUUUAUAAGGGAAUAAAGUGGGUCACGUGUGACUUUUUGCAUGUACCUUAUGAAUAAGAACCGGCUAAUUCCGUG
rnacentral:rRNA from 1 species